GUCCCUGUAGCGUACUGGAUAGCGCAUUGGACUUCUAAUCCAAAGGUCGUGGGUUCUAAGCCCACCUGGGAUA
rnacentral:tRNA from 1 species